rnacentral:tRNA from 1 species
CGGAGUGUGGCGUAGUCUGGUAUCGCGCCUGGUUUGGGACCAGGAGGUCGCAGGUUCAAAUCCUGUCACUCCGA